CCUACGGGAGGCAGCAGUGAGGAAUAUUGGUCAAUGGCCGAGAGGCUGAACCAGCCAAGCCGCGUGAGGGAAGAAUGUCCUAUGGAUUGUAAACCUCUUUUGUCAGGGAGCAAAGUCACCCACGUGUGGGUGUUGGAGAGUACCUGAAGAAACAGCAUCGGCUAACUCCGUGCCAGCAGCCGCGGUAAUACGGAGGAUGCGAGCGUUAUCCGGAUUUAUUGGGUGUAAAGGGUGCGUAGGCGGGUUAUCAAGUCAGCGGUAAAAUCGUGGAGCUCAACUCCAUCCAGCCGUUGAAACUGGUGAGCUUGAGUGGGCGAGAAGUAUGCGGAAUGCGUGGUGUAGCGGUGAAAUGCAUAGAUAUCACGCAGAACUCCGAUUGCGAAGGCAGCAUACCGGCGCCCGACUGACGCUGAGGCACGAAAGCGUGGGUAUCGAACAGGAUUAGAUACCCGAGUAGUC
rnacentral:rRNA from 1 species